CGCACAAUUUCCAAGUGUUUCGGGGAGUUGUAGUUUUUAAACUCCUUGUGCCGGGGCGACUGUGGUUUCGAACGUUGCAACGUAGAAAGUUAGAACUUGUUUUAGAAGCGAGCCCCUUGCUGUCUGGUCCGAAACACCAACCACUUCUCGACAGUAAUUCACAUUCUCGAAAGUUUUGAAUCUUAACGGUUUCUCAUCAAAGCUUUAUCAAAACUCCAAUAAUCUGUGUAAUCCUCAAUUUCCGCCUUCUCAAAUCUCUAGAGAAAGGAGAAAGGCAACUGGUUUUCUGCACUCCACCCCAGAAGACGGGCAUCCGCAAUAGUGUAACAGCUUUGCUGGGCCAGAAAAGGCUCAGAGGAUGUAUAACCUGCCCAAUGG
rnacentral:lncRNA from 1 species